GUCACUUCCCCAUUGUCUCCCAUGAAUGAAGGAGGAUUCAAGCGACCGGAAACACAGGGAUGGGAGUGUGAUCUGCAGAAUGUUGUUCACGUGUGCUAUGGAACCGAUGCUACACCUGAAAAUCAAGAAGCAACUGGGUCUCUUCCACCUGCUGACAUGAAGGUUGAGCAGUGACGUUUCGUCCCUCGUUAUCGUUUGCCCCAAGUGGUAAUUAUAUGUCGUUGGUUAUACCAACACAAGCAGAGCAAUUGAAAUACUGCGUCGGCUUGUCUAAAACAUCCAGAUUCCAACCAGAAUGUGGAAAAUGGAAAAGGAAAGAAGAUUGGAUCUUGUUUCUGUAAUCUGUACAGCUGGGGAAGACUCAUCUGAUUACCCUUCACUCUGGUUGAUUCCAAGUGGGAGAAAGAGAUAGAAGUGAAAGUCCUUUUUAUAAUGGAGAGGGAGAUUUGGGGUGUUGGAAAGAUCUGUGCUUUCACUAUGUUCUUGUUUUGUGUAUAGAUAGGUGGAUAUAGAAGUGAAAAUAUUUGAUGUAAUUUCUCUAUGAUCAACAUGAACAUGAUUUACCUUAGGUUUUUAUAGAAGAGGAGAUGCCCUUUAUUCACA